ensembl:lncRNA
CUAAAUUGGUAGAAUUAAGGAAGUUUUUAGUUCCCCUGUUAAUUCAGAGAUAUAUAGAAAGCCGGCAUUUUUCUACCACCUUUGGCAAUUUGCUUCCAGUAGUUCGACAACUCGCCUGUGGACACUUUUACAGCUCAUCCCUGCAUGCUGUUCAGAUGACAACGGUCACGAUAAAGACCGACAGCCAAUAGUCAGAUCUGUGUAUCAAAACAAACUUCUGCACUCAAAGCAACAUGAAUUCCUCUGAACAAGUAACAGCUGAGGUAACUCACUCACCGGAUGAAUUCGCAUUGCUCUUUAAAUUAAAGGGUUUUACAUCAAAUAUGAGGUAGAACUAUACUGUGACUUUUUUAACUUUAACUUUAUAUUUCUUUGCCAUUACUGCUAUAGAUUUUUAGUCAUUUUCUUGCAUUACAUGAAUAAAAAGUCACCUUAAAAAUAAUUAUUCUUUGGCUUUACUGAAAAUAGUUGCGAUGGAAACAGUGUUUGGACGGCUGCAGCUCACUCUGUGUAUUAAUACUGGCGGAAAACAUUAGUGUAGGCAAUUUGUCAUCAGUUUUGUUCAGCCAGCUGUGAUUAAAAUGGGGCCUGUCAAGGUUGCCCACAGUCAGUGUGGUUUUAACAGCUCCCCAAAAAGAGAUUCUGGCGAUUAUGGUCCUCUAUCAGUCAACAAGGAAAGUACAACUGAAAAGAAGACAGAAAUAGCUAAAGCAACUAUUUUACAGUUUAGUCGAACAGCCUGUGACAUUGACUGGCACGAGAAGAUGAAUGUUGCACAUAGAUCUGCACGCAGUACAACAAUUGUGAAUGUUGUGUCCAACACAAUCUUUUGGACUUUUGAUUUGGAUUAAUCUACCUGACUAUGUUACAUUAAGUACAAAAGUAUAAUUUGAAAGAUGACAUAUUUUAAUAUGUCGUUUAAAUGCUCAAGGGAAAUAAACACCCUGGUUGGAAGAUAAACAUAACCCCAGUAUUUUAAUCUCACAGAAAGUAAUAUUUUCAGUGCAUUGGCUUAUCACAACGCAUCAGUCUUCCUCUUAAACUGGCAGCACUAACAAUACAAUAGUACAGAUUUGUGCUUCACUGUUACUGUUGUCUCUGCAUCUGGGAAAUACGCAGUAUCUUUAGUUUUUACAAUUUUCAAAACCAGCAUUUCAUUAGUUUUUGUUGUGAGGUUUAAUAGAGAUUUAACCAAAGGAUAAAAGACGUGGCAAAACAUUAUAUUUUGAUCACUGGUCAAUUUUAGAAAUUUUGUGCAAUUUUUAUUUGACAGCAUUUCUUUU